rnacentral:rRNA from 1 species
UACGGGGGGAGCAAGCGUUGUUCGGAUUUACUGGGCGUAAAGGGCGCGUAGGCGGCCACCGCAAGUCGGUUGUGAAAUCUCUGGGCUUAACCCAGAAAGGUCAACCGAUACUGCGGGGCUAGAGUGCAGAAGGGGCAACUGGAAUUCUCGGUGUAGCGGUGAAAUGCGUAGAUAUCGAGAGGAACACCUGCGGCGAAGGCGGGUUGCUGGGACGUAACUGACGCUGAGACGCGAAAGCGUGGGGAGCAAACAGG